GAGGGUUUGGGUUUCGGACCAAAACGCUCUCUAUAAAAUAAGCUACAAUGGAACUGUGACUGUUAUUGGGAGCAAAAUUUAGGGUUGCAGACGCCGCAAUCUAUUCAUCAUCAAUGUUCUCUGGAAUUCUGGUUUUCGGUUGAUUUGUCAUCUUUUCAAUUCGUUUCGCUUAGCAAAUACGAUGCAAUGAAGAGAAACAGGGAAAUAAUCAUCGAUUGUGGGUCGUUCCGCAAUAUGAUACGUUUCGCCCUUGUGGUUCGUAUUCACUGAGCAUCAUCCCGGCGCUUUAUUUGUGUUUUUUUCUUUUCUUUUAUUAAAGAAUUCGUAUAUUUGCAUUGAGAAUGGAAUCGAAGGUUCCUAUGGAGGAAACGCUUUAAGUCGGUGCGUUUUUAUUCAAGUUUGCCUUCGGAGAUUGAAUCCAGAUCUCAUCUCAACUCCGAAAGUGUUCCCGUAUUUCGAUUGGAUCCACUUCUGAUGAUGAUUUUCUUACAUUAUUAUGUUUUUGUUAGUAUAAGGAAUGCGAAGGUCCCAGCAGGGGGGCGAUUACUCUUGUUGAGGCCUCUCUAACAAUCAAAUUCUAUUCCCUUCGCAUAGUUAUUCGCCGAAUCGUAGGAUGCCCAAAUUUUCUUCAAUUUUGGUAAUGUACGUUGAAGCCUAGAGCAAUUCAGAGAAAGUAUGAAAACAGAGAAAGCCUGGAAGUACGUAGAAAGUCAAGUUCUAUGUAUUUUUACUAGCAAUAAAAGCCAAAUUCUUCUCUUUGGAAGAAGCAUAACAGAGACAAAUGGCUAGCUGAAACUCUGACCAAAUUGGUGAAAAAUUCAGUCCAGCAAAUGACAUUUACUCUACCUUUUUA